rnacentral:rRNA from 1 species
CACCUACGGGGCGCAGCAGUGAGGAAUAUUGGUCAAUGGGCGGGAGCCUGAACCAGCCAAGUCGCGUGAAGGAAGAAGGUACUUAGUAUUGUAAACUUCUUUUGUCGGGGAACAAAGGCGGAGACGCGUCUCCGGAUGAGUGUACCCGAAGAAAAAGCAUCGGCUAACUCCGUGCCAGCAGCCGCGGUAAUACGGAGGAUGCGAGCGUUAUCCGGAUUUAUUGGUUUUAAAGGGUGCGUAGGCGGGACGGUAAGUCAGCGGUAAAUAUGCGGAGCUCAACUCCUUCGAGCCGUUGAAACUGCCGU